GAUGAACGCUGGCGGCGUGCCUAAUACAUGCAAGUCGAGCGAAUGGAUUAAGAGCUUGCUCUUAUGAAGUUAGCGGCGGACGGGUGAGUAACACGUGGGUAACCUGCCCAUAAGACUGGGAAUAACUCCAGGAAACCGGGGCUAAUACCGGAUAACAUUUUGAACCGCAUGGUUCGAAAUUGAAAGGCGGCUUCGGCUGUCACUUAUGGAUGGACCCGCGUCGCAUUAGCUAGUUGGUGAGGUAACGGCUCACCAAGGCAACGAUGCGUAGCCGACCGGAGAGGGUGAUCGGCCACACUGGGACUGAGACACGGCCCAGACUCCUACGGGAGGCAGCAGUAGGGAAUCUUCCGCAAUGGACGAAAGUCUGACGGAGCAACGCCGCGUGAGUGAUGAAGGCUUUCGGGUCGUAAAACUCUGUUGUUAGGGAAGAACAGGUGCUAGUUGAAUAAGCUGGCACCUUGACGGUACCUAACCAGAAAGCCACGGCUAACUACGUGCCAGCCGCCGCGGUAA
rnacentral:rRNA from 1 species